GGGUUGUUCUGUUGGUUGCAGAGUGAGAGGAAUAGUCUGAAUAUUUCAUCAGCCUACUCUCUAAAAAUACAGAGGAGGAAAAAAGGGAAUCAAAUUUUGAUAGCAUUUAGCUGUACUUCGUCUUCCAUCUCCCGACCACCUCCAUCCUGAAUGAUCGUUCUAUCGCUCGUUUUUGUCAUUCCUGUGACAUUCCUUCACUCUAUCAAUCUUUCUCUGUCUGUCUCAAGCUCUCUCCCUUCUUGUCUGACUCACAUGUCUUCAGCAGGCUUGCUUGUGAUGCAGGAAAGGUCUCCCUGGAGGCAGUUGCUAAGCAACUGGCUGCUGUUGGAUUAUGGGUUAAGUUCGAGGCAAAGAAACGCAACCAUGCUAGAUGGUGUAUGUGUGUGUAAUGGUGAAACAUAAGACAUUGCUUGUAUGUGCUGUGUUUGAGAAUCUGUGUCGGCAUGUAUGCAUGUGCUUGUGUGCGAAUGAGGGUAAAAACACAAAAAGUCAGUUUUAAAGUAACAUGUAUUCCCAUUGCCAUUUUUCAUGUAUAGUAUUAGCUAAUUUAAGGAAAUCACUCUCCUGCCCAAAAGCUCUGAGCACUUAGCAACAGACCCCUCCCCAUUCUUUCCUGCCCUUUCUGACUGUUUUCAGUUGCAGUGCACAUGAUUAGGAUAGAAUUAGUGACCAACUGAUGUGUCAAUGACAGUCAGAGACAAAGAAAAAGUUACAUUUUACUUAGAUCCAAUCUAGUUGGUUGGGUAGAAAACGAACUACAGUAAGUGGGAGCAAGGGGGUAUAUUUUCAGAGCUAGUAUUGAGCUAGCUAUUGAGCAAAUUGAUAUGGCAUCUCAGAUUCCCAUGUAGGACUGAACAUGUGACACAGGUCUAUGACUCUAUGAAGCAAAUCUCUGACACAUAAAAUAGUAAGACCUGUUUAGAGGUUUAGACAUGACAGCAUAUGUUUUUUACAGCUGUUUCUCACCCUACUGGGAUCCAUAUUGUGAAUCAUUCCUUCAUAAUCCGUGGCGAUGCAGAGUGUCUGUCUGUGUGAGCGUGUGCAUGUAUGUAGUCUGAAGCUUGUAAUAUGAAUGAAUUCCGCUGUCACUCUUUAACUGCCUGCUGUUCUGGGAGCUUCCAGAUGGAAAGGGAGGGAGUAAGUGAGGGAGAAGAAUGGUGAGAGAAAGUGAGCAACACCAAGAAGGGAGGGAGAGAGGAACAAGUGAGGAAGAGAGAAAAAAGGGAGAGAGAAAGGGAAGAGCUUAGAGCUGUACUGAAAGGGAAAGAAGAGACAAACCAAACAGGAAGUGAAAAGGGGAAAAGGAAAAGACUGGUAGGAUCUAAAGGAGUUAACGCUGGAAGGAGUUAUAAGAGUAAACUAAAUAACUGAAAUAGGAAAAAAAUUUUUGCCUGGAACCGUUGUCGUUCUUCUGCUCCGUUGUACUUCUCUCAACAUCUUCUCUCGACACCUUUUAUUUACCUGCAACCCUGAAAGUUUCCGUAUCAAGAGAGGAAAAGAAACGAGAAAGAAGCAGGAAGAAGACUGAACUCUUUUCUGAAUCUGCAAACUUGAACCGUUCUAAAGGUAUGAAGAUUCUAAGUGGUUUGUACCUGUAGCACUUUGAGGGAUGUACAGAGUUUUGCUCAACAAAGUCAUGAUGAUGAGGACAACAAAAAAAUGAGAUUCACUUAAAAAGAAAGAUUGAUGCAGAUAGUCAUGGAAGAUACUGUAACUGCAUGCUGGCCAAUGCUUCAUGACACAGGCAAACAGAUAGAGAAGACGAUAUAUCAGCAUCUCUGGUAAGAACAAACAACUCAACAAGGUUUGCCUGAAUUUCUUCCUUACCCUGAUCUUAUGAUAGACUCCAAGUUUUAGAAACCUGCUGUGUGGGAAAGCCAUUCCACUGUGAGCUCAGAACAAAAGAGAAGACCUCAGAGACAUUGUGGAGAAGAAGAAGAAAAAGAAAAAGAGGUAGAAGACCAGGAGAAAGGAACAGAGAGCCAGAGCUGGCUCUGAAAGGAACAAGGGAACAGGGGGAAAGGGUGAAGGAGAGAUGGGACUUCGGGAGCUUUUGUGAAGGCUUGAAAGAAUGGAAGCAGCUCCGAAAUAAAAAGCAGAACAGGGAGUCCCUGCAGUCCGCCUGGUACAAUGUGUGCAGGUGUGGUGCCCCCUGGAGGUGGAAAUUAUUGAUGAUAAACAUGCUCCCCCAUGGCCUUGCUCACGCGUGCCGGGCCAUCGAUGAAGAGCAGGACAACGACAGAGAGGAGAGGAUCUUGGCUAUCUUGGGAAUAGUCGGCACAAUUCUCAACCUGCUGGUGGUCAUCUUUGUCUAUAUUUACACCACCAUCUGAAGACUGGAGUGGGGAAAGAAUAGAUCCACCCAGAGGUCUGAGAGGAAAGAAAUUCAGAUUGGAAAGAUACUGCUUUAUGUAUGUGCUCAGUGAGGACAGGAGUAGAUUAUAUGUAUGGACAAAUGGACUACUUCAUUUGUGCUGGUUUCACCAUUUUUACUUAUCAUUUCAUAAUACUCCAAGUUUAAACCAACAAUAUUACCCCUGAAUGCAUUACCUAUUAAAGUUAUAUUGUAAAUAUUAUAUUAACCAUGGCAUGGCAUCCUCGUAUAUAUUUCUCAUGGCAUGGCAUUCUUAUAUAUUUCUGAUGUGAUUGAUUGAACAUUUUAGCGACAUUUAGGUGCUCACCAGCUUUAACGACAACUCUUUCAAAACGAUUCGCUGAAGAUAAUGGCGGCAUCUGCUCAGGAGACAGCUGCCACACUUGCUGGAUGUCUUACUUUGAGCAACUCUGGUGAAAAGAAGGAUAUUUCCCUGAAAUUUGCAAACAGGACAGCGUCCCUCGCAUCGAUUUACAAUACCAGAGUGAUUAAUAUCAACAUGUACUUUCUACUGUAUGAGUUUUACUCAUCUAACAAAGUUGACAAAACAUGAUAUCGCGAUUCCUAUGAUGGAAGAUGUGCUAAGAGGCAAACCUAGCUUCUUUGGUUUACAGUACAGUAUAUGGUUAUUCCAAUGCCUGAGCAGGAUCUGUAGCAGUGUACAUGCUGUGUGUAACUCAGUGUGCAGAAAAGUGGGUCUAUAGCUUUAUCAAACCAUUAAAACAGGGGUAAAGUUUGCACGGUAUUAUCAGCACCUAAAGCAAAAUGGAAUGGAAUAAAGUUACAAACAGUUGCAAAUG